CAUAGUUUUAGACAUAUAUUAUCAAGACUAUCUUAAUAAUGGUUUCGGAAACCUAUAUUAUGUCCAAAUAUUGAAUCACCAUUUAGUUGUAGCUAGCAAUCUUCGAAUUAAUUGAAACUAAGACUACGUCAAAAAUGGUUCCUUCAAAGUCAACCAUUCUCUUUGAUUGUAGUCACCUUAAGCUACCAAUUAGCUUAUGAAGGUUUCAUUAUUUCGGGUUAAAUGGUACUUUACCAUUUCCUUGAGUAUAUAUCAUAUAUACACUCAAUGUAGUCAUAAGGAUUUUCAUUCUUAUUUCUUUCGAAUUAAGAGGUGCAACUCUAUGACAUAGUCAUAAAGUUCAAACCAUUUAACUGAGACGGUUUAUAAAUCCUUAUCGACUACCUUGGAGCUUUUGAUAUAGGAACUAGGUUGUUUAUAUUUGUUGAUUACUUUCUUGUCUCUCAAAGAACCCAUUCUUUGAGUUCUAUCUCUCGUUUAUUUGCUUUUAGGCAAAUCACAUUGUAGGAUUACAAUGAACUACCCAACAAAACAACAUUUGUUAGUUGGUUUAUAGAAGUGAUAUCCAAAAGUUAAUUUAAGGUAUCCCACAAGAUUGUUAUCAAACAAAUAUUGCUUAUUAGCACACAACCCCAAAUCUUAACAUGCUUGAGAUUUGUCUUUCUUUCCAACUACAUCUUAUGGAGUCAUGAAAAUAUUGGAAGAUCUUCUAAUUUACAAUCAUAUUGUUUUUAGAAGUAUAUAUCCUAUAUAUGGGUAAUUGAUAAUAUCCAACGAACUAAAUCUUUAUUCAAGUUCGUUCUUCUCCUAAUGGAGAAAUCUAUUAUCUUAUGAUGCUUCUUUCCUUGAUAUCUUUCAAGAAAACUAUUCUAAAGUGUUACCAUUCCUUGGAUCAAAUCUAAGGAUGUAAAUACUUUAGACGUCUUACUCAUCAACUUACAUUACUUGAAUUCUUUGAAACAUUUUGCAAAGUAUUCGGACUUGUGUUUAUUCAAAAUAAACUAUAGUCCAACCGAGAGUGAUCUUCGGUGAAUGUCAUCCAACAUGAGUAGUAUUAUGUUGUGGAUAAGUGCCACUAAUAUCUAAGUGAAUUAACCUCAACAACUUUGUGAUUCUUUCUUCUUUCCAAAAGAAUAAAGAUUCGAACAUUUCGCCUCUAUACAAUUUUAACAAGAAGGUAUUGGAUCCGGAUCUAACAAUCCAAAGCAUCCAUCUUUCACCAACUCAUAACUUAUGUUUUUAGAGGAAUCACAACUUAGUUGGGAUUAGUCACUACCUUGCAACCUUUUUGGGUUUAAGCAUCAUUAUGUUCUAAACAGUUAACACUACCAUAUCAUCUCUACUAUAGAGACAAUCAAUUAGAUUACUAUAAUCCAAU
rnacentral:lncRNA from 1 species